rnacentral:rRNA from 1 species
AUUGAACGCUGGCGGCAGGCUUAACACAUGCAAGUCGAGCGGGGUGAUGGUGCUUGCACUAUCACUUAGCGGCGGACGGGUGAGUAAUGCUUAGGAAUCUGCCUAUUAGUGGGGGACAACAUCUCGAAAGGGAUGCUAAUACCGCAUACGUCCUACGGGAGAAAGCAGGGGAUCACUUGUGACCUUGCGCUAAUAGAUGAGCCUAAGUCGGAUUAGCUAGUUGGUGGGGUAAAGGCCUACCAAGGCGACAAUCCGUAGCGGGUCUGAGAGGAUGAUCCGCAACACUGGGACGGAGACACGGCCCAGACUCCUACGGGAGGCAGCAGUGGGGAAUAUUGGACAAUGGGGGGAACCCUGAUCCAGCCAUGCCGCGUGUGUGAAGAAGGCCUUAUGGUUGUAAAGCACUUUAAGCGAGGAGGAGGCUCUUUUGGUUAAUACCCAAGAUGAGUGGACGUUACUCGCAGAAUAAGCACCGGCUAACUCUGUGCCAGCCGCCGCCGUAA